rnacentral:rRNA from 1 species
GAGUUUGAUCAUGGCUCAGAUGAACGCUAGCGGGAGGCUUAACACAUGCAAGUCGAGGGGUAUAAGUAGCAAUAUUUAGAGACCGGCGCACGGGUGAGUAACGCGUAUGCAACCUGCCCUUUACAGGGGGAUAGCCCGUAGAAAUGCGGAUUAAUACCCCAUAGUACUAUUGGAUCGCAUGGUUUGAUAGUUAAAGUUUCGGUGGUAAAGGAUGGGCAUGCGUGACAUUAGCUAGUUGGAGAGGUAACGGCUCACCAAGGCUACGAUGUCUAGGGGUUCUGAGAGGAAGAUCCCCCACACUGGUACUGAGACACGGACCAGACUCCUACGGGAGGCAGCAGUGAGGAAUAUUGGUCAAUGGGCGAGAGCCUGAACCAGCCAUCCCGCGUGCAGGAAGAAUGCCCUAUGGGUUGUAAACUGCUUUUUCGCAUGAAGAACACUCCGGACGUGUCUGGAGCUGACGGUAAUGCGUGAAUAAGCACCGGCUAACUCCGUGCCAGCAGCCGCGGUAAUACGGAGGGUGCAAGCGUUAUCCGGAUUUAUUGGGUUUAAAGGGUGCGUAGGCGGUAAUAUAAGUCAGUGGUGAA